AACCGCCGUGGUACGGAACCGUAUGCCCGGUGGUGUGAGAGGACGGAGGCCGUGAGGCCUCCUCCUACUCGAU
rnacentral:autocatalytically_spliced_intron from 1 species